rnacentral:lncRNA from 1 species
CUCUCUGGCUCAACUCUCGGCCGCGGUGUUUCCGUUUCUCUCCCUGGUUGUCGCCUGCUCUGCUCUUCUCAUCCUUCUCGCUCUGCUGCUCUGCGGAGUGACGAGGCUGAAUCUUCUCCCCACCCAGUUCGCGCUUUUCUUCUUUUUCUCGCGCCGCUCCAUUUCUCCAGUCCGGCUGCCGCCGCCACUGCUGCUCAGCUGGUGUCGGUGCCGCGCGUUUCCCCCACGUCGUCCCCGCAGCCUAUGGCCCAGGCCGCCUUGGGUAUUUCUGCUCAAGGUAACCACAUCCCUCUUUAAAAAUUCCGCCGAAAAAGAGAAGACGCUUUACCCGACUCUUUGGGCCGUUAUCUCACGUGAGUACCGGGCUUAGGGGCGCGGGAGGGUCGGGCGCCUGGGCUGGGCCACGCCGCCCUCGGUGUCCCCGCAGUGCCCCGCAGCCGGCGGCCUCGAACAUGGCGGCCG